CGGUGAGACCCCAAUAGAGGAAGGACCUUGGACAGCUGUCUGCCAAGGCACAGAAGCAUGUCUUUCUUACUUGAGGAGAAAGAAAACAAACAAACAAACAAAAAGAUCUAAGGAACAGGGAAAGAAAGGUAACCAUGGAGCUUUUUCCAAGGAGCCUAAGACAGCCAUCUCCGCCAGCCGGGAGUGGGAAAGCUGAGCUUUGUUCUGAUGAAGGGAUAGGAGGCUUAUUUGGACCAGAAAAGAAAAAACAAAACAUCAACUGAAUAAUCAGAUGCCUCUGGACUGGCUACAGAAGGCUCUAUCUGGUGCAGUCCAUUCUGCCCGCCUGCUCCCUGCGGAGAUGAGAGGCUCCCCAAGACGGCUGCCUUUCUCCUGAAGUCGGGCUCUUGGCAUGGAGCGGGGCCCUCACGAGAAGGGAUUAGGUGGUCCGGGGCCUGCGUGGCCUUCCCCCUGCCAGCUCUCCAUGGAAUUAAAAUGCCCAGAGCCGAGCUGCCCACUGCGGCCCUGUCCCCAUGCCACCCCCCAGUAAGUCUGUGAUUCCAGGGGGCUCCCAGAGUUGGAAAUGAGAUCGAGGCCAUGGAGACCCGGCUCCUGGGAGAAAACACCCCGAAGAGCAGGGGGAAAAAUAAGCCCCAAGACAAACUUGGUUUCCAAUUAUUUUGCUUAUGGCAAGUUCCAGAAAAGGAAGAGCUUCUUUUGCUUAUAAUGGUCCAAGUGAUACUCUGGCUGGCAGAGAGAAGAUGUCUUCUCUUCCCUGAAGAAAGGACUCCUUCCCCUCCUCCAGUCUAGGGCACACAGCCCUGCCCGGAGUUCCAUGCCAUCUUCCCUUUGCCUGUGUUUUGUGCGAAGGAGCAUUCAAAUGUUGGACAAAACGGCUUUAAUUCAACUUGAUCAUCUUCUGAAAAAGAAAAAAAAAUUAAAGGAAGAAAAAUAAAGGAGGAAGAACAAAAGUUGGGAGAGGCCAGACUAAAUGGAUAUGAUCUGAAUGCAUAUUUGUGUUACAACUAAUACAACCAGCAGCAGAGAGGGACCAAGAUCAAAUAAAUGGUAAAACCUGACAAAGAGAAGAAUAGAUGGUAUGUGGAGCCAUCUGUUUUGGAGGACACCCAAAUCUGUCUGAAUCUGUGAGGCCAAACUACCAGCUAUUCUAAGACGCCCCAUUCCAAGAGUGGCCUAAUGCGUAGCUACACAAUCAGUUUCUCUCACUAUCACUUUGGCUGCAACUUUUUUGUGCAAUUAAGUAAUUUAUUCCUUUCUUCAGCCUCCUGAUUCUAAUGAAUCCGAGCCACAAACAAGCCUCAGUUGCUCCUAUUCAAGGAGUCUGAUUACAUCUGGCAGUGAUUGCUGGAAAUCCUGAAGAGGAAACAGGGAAGGGAAGCAUAUUGUUUGGGGGGGUAAUAGGUGAAGACCUGCCUCUCUUGACCUAUAAUACAUUAGUGUCAGUGAACAUUUGGCAGCCUUCAGAUGAUUAGCAAUGAAGAUGAAUCAAGCAAAAAAGAGGUAGAAAUCUGCCUCAUCUGAAUCGCCAGAACUGCAUACAUUUGCAUGCUGAUUAGCUGUUCUUUUGUCUGUGUUCCUAAUUAUUAUGACACAUUAUGUCUUCAUCAUGCAAGAUUCUGAUCUGUCUUGUUCAAAAUGCAUGUAGAAAAAAGUGCUGUUUAUUGAUUCAACAUGUAACUUUUAUUUUUAUGUUUGCUUUAAUUAAAUACAUAUUUGAUUGCC
ensembl:lncRNA